GACAGAGGGUGCAAACGUUGUUCGGAAUUACUGGGCGUAAGCGUGAUGUAGGCGGUUUGCUAAGUCGGGUGUGAAAGCCCCGGGCUCAACCCGGGAAGUGCACUCGAAACUGGCAAGCUAGAGUACUGGAGAGGUUGGUGGAAUUCUCGGUGUAGAGGUGAAAUGCGUAGAUAUCGGAAAGGAACAUCAGUGGCGAAAGCGACUUCCUGGACCAGUACCGACGUUCAGGCACGAAAGCGUGGGGAGCAAACAGG
rnacentral:rRNA from 1 species